rnacentral:rRNA from 1 species
GACGAACGCUGGCGGCGUGCUUAACACAUGCAAGUCGAACGAAGAGCGAUGGAAGCUUGCUUCUAUCAAUCUUAGUGGCGAACGGGUGAGUAACGCGUAAUCAACCUGCCCUUCAGAGGGGGACAACAGUUGGAAACGACCGCUAAUACCGCAUACGAUCUAACCUCGGCAUCGAGGAUAGAUGAAAGGUGGCCUCUACAUGUAAGCUAUCACUGAAGGAGGGGAUUGCGUCUGAUUAGCUAGUUGGAGGGGUAACGGCCCACCAAGGCGAUGAUCAGUAGCCGGUCUGAGAGGAUGAACGGCCACAUUGGGACUGAGACACGGCCCAGACUCCUACGGGAGGCAGCAGUGGGGAAUCUUCCGCAAUGGACGAAAGUCUGACGGAGCAACGCCGCGUGAGUGAUGACGGCCUUCGGGUUGUAAAGCUCUGUUAAUCGGGACGAAAGGCCUUCUUGCGAAUAGUUAGAAGGAUUGUCGGUACCGGAAUAGAAAGCCACGGCUAACUACGUG